UAAUACGAAGGGGGCUAGCGUUGUUCGGAAUCACUGGGCGUAAAGCGCGUGUAGGCGGACUGUUAAGUCGGGGGUGAAAUCCCGAGGCUCAACCUCGGAAUUGCCUUCGAUACUGGCAGUCUUUGAGUCCGGGAGAGGUGAGUGGAACUCCUAGUGUAGAGGUGAAAUUCGUAGAUAUUAGGAAGAACACCAGUGGCGAAGGCGGCUCACUGGCCCGGUACUGACGCUGUGACGCGAAAGCGUGGGGAGCAAACAGGAUUAGAUACCCUGGUAGUCCACGCCGUAAACGAUGGAAGCUAGCCGUCGGACAGCUUGCUGUUCGGUGGCGCAGCUAACGCUUUAAGCUUCCCGCCUGGGGAGUACGGUCGCAAGAUUA
rnacentral:rRNA from 1 species